rfam:Gemmatimonadetes bacterium 13_1_40CM_4_69_8 13_1_40cm_4_scaffold_542, whole genome shotgun sequence.
GCCGAAGUGGUGGAACUGGUAGACGCGCUGGCUUCAGGAGCCAGUGGGCGCAAGCCCGUGGGGGUUCGAGUCCCCCCUUCGGCA